rnacentral:lncRNA from 1 species
AUGGUACCGAGACAGCUUUGGUCGCCUAAGUCAAUGAUCUACGCCGGGAACUGGACAAGGGGAGUGUGUCCUUGCUGGUUCUGCUGGACCUCUCAGCGGCCUUCGAUACCGUCGAUCACGGUAUCCUUCUGGGGCGCCUCGCUGGGAUGGGUCUCGGAGGCACUGUUUUGCAGUGGCUCCGGUCCUUCCUGGAGGGUCGUUCCCAGAUGGUGUCACUGGGGGACACCUGCUCGGCUCCACAGCCAUUGUCCUGUGGGGUCCCUGCAGGGGUCGAUAUUGUCCCCCAUGUUGUUCAACAUAUACAUGAAGCCACUGGGAGAGAUCAUCCAGAGUUUCGGGGUCCGGUGCCAUCUGUACGCAGAUGAUGUCCAGCUCUGUCACUCCUUCCCACCUGUCACUAAGGAGGCUGUUCAGGUCCUGAACUGGUGUCUGGCCGCUGUGUCGGACUGGAUGAGGGCGAACAAAUUGAAACUGAAUCCAGACAAGACAGAGGUCCUCCUGGUCAGUCGUAAGGCUGAACAGGGAAUAGGGUUACAGCCUGUGUUGGACGGGGUCGCACUCCCCCUGAAGAUGCAGGUUCGCAGUCUGGGGGUCCUCCUGGACUCAUCGCUGAGCCUGGAGCCCCAGGUCUCGGCGGUGGCCAGGGGAGCCUUCGCACAACUAAGACUUGUGCGCCAGCUGCGCCCGUUCCUUGGGAGGUCUGACUUGGCCACGGUGGUCCACGCUCUGGUUACAUCCCAUUUGGACUACUGCAACGCUCUCUACGUGGGGUUGCCUUUGAAGAUGGCCCGGAAGCUCCAAUUAGUACAACGGGCGGCAGCCAGAUUAAUAACUGGGGCGGCUUAUAGGGAGCGUACCACCUCCCUACUUAGCCAGCUCCACUGGCUGCCGAUAUGCUACCGAGCCCAAUUCAAAGUGCUGGUUUUGACCUAUAAAGCCUUACACGGUUUUGGCCCAAUCUACUUGUCCGAACGUAUCUCCUCCUAUGAGCCAGGAAGAUCCCUAAGGUCAUCUGGUGAGGCCCUGCUCUCGGUCCCGCCUGCCUCACAAGCGCGGCUGGUGGGAACGAGGGACAGGACCUUCUCGGUGGUGGCUCCCCGGCCGUGGAACACCCUCCCCAGAGAAAUACGGCAAGCCCCAACCCUUUUGAGUUUUAGAAAAGCCCUGAAAACAUGGAUAUGUGCCCAGGCUUUCGAAGAUUAA